GGCCAGCAUCGGGGCGAGAGGAAGUAAAAACGAUUUGGAAAUGUAACUUUCGAGUAUUAUAGACCUUAUCCCUCCCUUCAAUCUGAUCCCAAGGCUUCGGUUUAUCCUAGGAUGCUGGUGUAAU
rnacentral:rRNA from 1 species